GGGUCACUAGCUCAAUUGGUAGAGCAGUUGACUCUUAAUCAAUUGGUUUGGAGUUCGAGUCUCCGAUGGCCCACCA
rnacentral:tRNA from 1 species